rnacentral:rRNA from 1 species
GGUUGACCUCGGAUCAGGUAGGAAUACCCGCUGAACUUAAGCAUAUCAAUAAGCGGAGGAAAAGAAACCAACAGGGAUUGCCUUAGUA